GCCUGGGUGGCUCAGUCGGUUAAGCAUCUGACUUCAGCUCAGGUCAUGAUCUCACGGCUCGUGGGUUUGAGCCCCGUGUCAGGCU
rnacentral:tRNA from 1 species